UACGGAGGAUCCAAGCGUUAUCCGGAUUUAUUGGGUUUAAAGGGUGCGUAGGCGGCCAAUUAAGUCAGGGGUGAAAGACGGUAGCUUAACUAUCGCAGUGCCUUUGAUACUGAUUGGCUUGAAUGUACUUGAGGUAGGCGGAAUGUGACAAGUAGCGGUGAAAUGCAUAGAUAUGUCACAGAACACCAAUUGCGAAGGCAGCUUACUAAAGUAUGAUUGACGCUGAGGCACGAAAGCGUGGGGAUCAAACAGG
rnacentral:rRNA from 1 species